rnacentral:tRNA from 1 species
GCCCCUGUGGAUCAAUCGGACCGCGCACUGGACUCACCAUCCAGAGGUCGCAGGUUCGAAUCCUGCGGCGGGCG